rnacentral:rRNA from 1 species
GACGAACGCUGGCGGCGCGCCUAACACAUGCAAGUCGAACGGAGCUGAGAGAAGCUUGCUUUUCUUAGCUUAGUGGCGAACGGGUGAGUAACGCGUGAGUAACCUGCCCUGGAGUGGGGGACAACAGUUGGAAACGACUGCUAAUACCGCAUAAGCCCACGAUCCGGCAUCGGAUUGAGGGAAAAGGAUUUAUUCGCUUCAGGAUGGACUCGCGUCCAAUUAGCUAGUUGGUGAGGUAACGGCCCACCAAGGCGACGAUUGGUAGCCGGACUGAGAGGUUGAACGGCCACAUUGGGACUGGGACACGGCCCAGACUCCUACGGGAGGCAGCAGUGGGGGAUAUUGCACAAUGGGGGAAACCCUGAUGCAGCGACGCCGCGUGGAGGAAGAAGGUUUUCGGAUUGUAAACUCCUGUCGUUAGGGACGAUAAUGACGGUACCUAACAAGAAAGCACCGGCUAACUACGUG